rnacentral:rRNA from 1 species
UGGGGAAUAUUGGACAAUGGGGGCAACCCUGAUCCAGCAAUGCCGCGUGUGUGAAGAAGGUCUUCGGAUUGUAAAGCACUUUCGACGGGGACGAUGAUGACGGUACCCGUAGAAGAAGCCCCGGCUAACUUCGUGCCAGCAGCCGCGGUAAUACGAAGGGGGCUAGCGUUGCUCGGAAUGACUGGGCGUAAAGGGCGUGUAGGCGGUUUACACAGUCAGAUGUGAAAUCCCCGGGCUUAACCUGGGAGCUGCAUUUGAUACGUGUAGACUAGAGUGUGAGAGAGGGUUUGUGGAAUUCCCAGUGUAGAGGUGAAAUUCGUAGAUAUUGGGAAGAACACCGGUGGCGGAGGCGGCAACCUGGCUCAUUACUGACGCUGAGGCGCGAAAGCGUGGGGAGCAAACAG